GUCCAAGCAAGCAUUAGAGUUUUCUCCUGGAUGAGUUCCGCCCUCAUCAGCCGGCUUUAGGUGGCAGACUACACAAAUGUCUUCAGAGAGUGGCACAGGAAGGGAGAUGCUGAGAUCCCUUCUUCCAGUUUGAAGAAGGUGUGAGUGGCGAUUCCUAAGCAGUAAGAAUCUUACUGCCUCUUUUCCUCUGAAGGCUUCCCGAGAGGGCUGGAAGCCAGCAGAUGCUGUGGACAUUGGUUAUUCAUCAGUUUGAGAGAGCCCUGCCCCAACAGGUGUUGAUCAGGCUCAGUUCCAGGGCUGGGACAUUCGCUACCUUCUAAAACAACUGGCUUCCUGUGCUUGCUGUGCUCAGUCGUGUCUGGCCCUUUGCAACCCCAUAGACUGCACCCUGCCAGGCUCCUCUGUCCACAGGGUUUCUCCAGGCAAGAAUAUUGAAGUAAGUUGUCAUGCCCUCCUCCAGGAUCAAACCCAGGUCUUCCACAUUACAGGCAGAUUCUCUACAUCUGAGCC
rnacentral:lncRNA from 1 species